UACGGCGAGAGUCCAUUUUCUAGAUUUGUUGUGAUCGGUAGAUCCUCGACGCGUCGAUCCGUUUCUUAUUGACGUCGAGGUAACUGCCAUCUCCGGCAAUAGUUUAGUUUAAGAUCAAAGCUGUUUUCGUUCUAAAUCUCUGGGUUUUUAGCGUGCCCAUGUCUCGUCCAAUUUAAAUCAUGGGAGUCGAGUGUCAUAUCUGUUGUACCGGAGUUAUCCUUGCACGUCGUGCGAGCAUCUCUCAUCGGCGGCACGUCGCUGUUUCCGUCUCCUGCGAGAGGUAAUCCCAUUUGCCUUCUGCGGUAUAGAUCUGGAGUCCGUCGAUCCGUUUCCGCUCUCCCUGUCAACGACGGCGAGGUUAUCGCCGCUGGCAACAGUUACCGGUCAAAGUUCUCCUACGCGUUCUCCGGAUCCCUUGUUUCUAACCGUGCUCCUGUACGCGCACGAAGUCGAUGGAAGACUUUGGGAUCCACGGCAAGUAGGUCGUCCUCGUGAACGGCGAUGAGGUUAAUUACGGUCGUAAGUGCUAGUUUCUCUACGUUUUCUCUGCGUUUUUUUCUGGAUCUAACAGUCUAUCCGUUCUAUUUUAGUAGAAAAUCUUACUCGCAUGCCCUGUAGCUACGGCUACAUCUUUGAGCCAAACUCCUCUGCAGCGGUGCAGCCGUGACUCUGUUCGCUGGCGGCUAGGCGGAUAACGCCGGGCGGGAGAUCUGCCUGCGAAAAACUAUCUUCGCCGGUAGCCGGUGGACCAUGAUGGCGGAAGAACCCAUGACGAAAUACUUUUGCCUCGUGACCAUGGCUAUACAGAUCUGCACCAGGCGCUCAGAAGCCCUCAAACUAGCUCUGCAACAGAAAUCAGAAAUCAAACGGGCGUCUGCCUGUAUGCAGAACCGUCAGAAAGAAAAGUCUGCAAUCGGGCCGGCUGCUUUUAAGUGGAAGAGCAUAUCUAGAAGAUUUCCUAAAGUUGCUCGUAAUCGUAAAAACUGCCGGCAUUCCGUAAAAGAUAGCAAAAACAUGCUCCGUAUUCUUUCGGUGUCGAUUACUUUCUUUUUAGAAAGAACUACUUCUGUAUGAUGUAUGAUGGACGGGUUACUUCACCUGUCAUCUGCACCCGGCGGUUGGUCGAGCUCGAUGAAAUGUACACUGUGAGAGUUGUUGAUCUUACUCGCCAGCUCCGCCCUCUUUCCCUCGGAAGAUAGAUCUGUUAAGCAUCUCUUAAUGGUGCACGUGACUCUGUGAACCACUCUAAAGUGCACAUAUAUAAUUUUUUAGCUGUGCGUGGUCAUCAGUCACAAGCUUGCCGGUAUGUGCGCUUAACAGAAUAACGGUAGAGAAUAAGCCUGAACAGGCGGCAAACAAGUGUAUUGGCCUGUUCUGCAGCUUUGCUAUUUCCAUUUGGUUGCUGGCUUGCCAGUGAGCAUCAUUGGCACUCAAGCAAUUGUGAUGGACCUUCAGCAUUGAGUUUACCAUCAGCUGCCAGAAAAACAAGUGAAAGGACUGGAACUCAUGCCAGGAUCUAUGGACCCAUAAGUUCAUAGGUGAACAAACAUUCAAACAUUGGAGUUCCUAUGCAGGCAUCAAAAGAUGCUGAGCUGACCAACCAUUACGGCGUGCACCUCUGCAGGUCUUGGCAUCGGCAUGCCCUUCAGGUCAAUUAUUUCCUUCUCCUUGCUGAUUAUGUGCUCAACGGUCCACUUGAGACAUUUUGCAGCUACUGCAUAACAAAACAAUACAUUGUAAUUCAUUUUAACCAUUUACCAAUUCCUUACUAUAGUAAAAUGUUGUUUAGAAAUAGGUUUGCUUGCAUCUUACAUCUGAAUAACAAAUAAUAAAACUUGCUAUUGUGACAAUUUACUUGCCUUCGAUGUUACCAUAGGAGUCUUUGCUGUGGACUCUCUUCACGAUUCUUGCUUUGUUUACCAUUUGGUUUAGAUAAUACUUGGCGUCCUUGAAGAGCGUCUGAAGUUCCAGAUUCUUCUGGACCACGUCCUCUGCCCCCACUUAGAGUACCUCUGGUAUCUCAUACUCCUGAUGGAUAAAAAGAUGAAAAUAUGACAUUGUAUAAUCGUCAGGUUGAUUCAAUCUAACAACAUUGGAGAGCUCUCAGGCAAGAGGAAAUGCUGUUAGUUCGCAAACAGUAAUAUUUCAGACGAAAUGCUGUUAGUUUCUACAACAAUUGGAGUGCUGGCUGUUUAAUCCAAACGAUUAACGCAGGUUGAUUCAAUCUAACGACAUUGGAGAGCUCUCAGGCAAGAGGAAAUGCUGUUAGUUCGCAAACAGUAAUAUUUCAGAAAAAAUGCUGUUAGUUUCUACCACAAUUGGAGCGCUGGCUGUUCAAUCCAAACGAUUAACGCAGGUUGAUUCAAAGUAACGACAUUGGAGAGCUCUCAGGCAAGAGGAAGUGCUGUUAGUUCGAAAACAGUAAUAUUUCAAAGGAAAUGCUGUUAGUUUCUACAACAAUUGGAGUGCUGGCUGUUUAAUCCAAACGAUCAACGCAGGUUGAUUCAAAGUAACGACAUUGGAGAGCUCUCAGGCAAGAGGAAAUGCUGUUAGUUCGCAAACAGUAAUAUUCCAGAGGAAAUGCUGUUAGUUUCUACCACAAUUGGAGUGCUGGCUGUUUAAUCUAAACGAUUAACGCAAGUUGGUCAACUUUUUGAAGAUCUGGACUAACUCGGUGUCUAUACACAUUUGGUAUUGUGGAUUAUUUCGUAGUGCACUCAUUUGGUGUUGUUCUGCAUCUUAGUUUUGAAGUAGCAAACAUUAUCUACAUAAAAAUAACAACAUGUAGAACAAGCAUGGAUAUUUUAUAAUGCACUCAUUCAGUAUUGUUGAUAUUUGUAACAAUGAAUAUCCGUAACAUUGAAAAAAGAUGAAAAUAUGACAUUGUGUAAUCA